rnacentral:rRNA from 1 species
GUGGCGAACGGGUGCGUAACACGUGAGCAACCUACCGUGAAGUGGGGGAUAGCUCGCCGAAAGGCGAAUUAAUACCGCAUGUGGCCAAGGAAGACAUCUUCCUGACGCCAAAGCCGGGGUAACCUGGCGCUUCUCGAGGGGCUCGCGGCCUAUCAGCUUGUCGGUGAGGUAACGGCUCACCAAGGCUAUGACGGGUAGCUGGUCUGAGAGGACGACCAGCCACACUGGAACUGAGACACGGUCCAGACACCUACGGGUGGCAGCAGUCGAGAAUUUUUCACAAUGGGGGAAACCCUGAUGGAGCGACGCCGCGUGGAGGAUGACGGUUUUCGGAUUGUAAACUCCUGUCAUUAGAGAACAAGGCACAUGGUUUAACUGACCGUGUGUUGAUAGUAUCUGAAGAGGAAGGGACGGCUAACUCUGUGCCAGCAGCCGCGGUAAUACAGAGGUCCCAAGCGUUGUUCGGAUUCAUUGGGCGUAAAGGGUGCGUAGGUGGCGAGGCAAGUCGGAUGUGAAAUCUCCAAGCUCAACUUGGAAACUGCAUUCGAUACUGCUUUGCUCGAGGAUUGUAGAGGGCAUUGGAGUUCACGGUGUAGCAGUGAAAUGCGUAGAUAUCGUGAGGAAGACCAGUGGCGAAGGCGAAUGCCUGGGCAAUUCCUGACACUGAGGCACGAAGGCCAGGGGAGCAAACGGGAUUAGAUACCCCGGUAGUCCUGGCAGUAAACGGUGCACGUUUGGUGUGGGAGAUUCGACCCCUUCCGUGCCGGAGCUAACGCGUUAAACGUGCCGCCUGGGGGAGUACGGUCGCAAGAUUAAA